UACGUAGGAGGCGAGCGUUGUCCGGAUUUACUGGGCGUAAAGGGCGCGUAGGCGGUAGCACAAGUCAGUUGUGAAAUCUCCGGGCUUAACUCGGAAAGGUCAACUGAUACUGUGCGACUAGAGUGCAGAAGGGGCAACUGGAAUUCUCGGUGUAGCGGUGAAAUGCGUAGAUAUCGAGAGGAACACCUGCGGCGAAGGCGGGUUGCUGGGCUGACACUGACGCUGAGGCGCGAAAGCCAGGGGAGCGAACGGG
rnacentral:rRNA from 1 species